rnacentral:rRNA from 1 species
CAGCCAAGUAGCGUGCGGAUGGCGGCCUAUGGGUUGUAAACUGCUUUUAUGCGGGGAUAAAGUGAGGGACGUGUCCUUCAUUGCAGGUACCGCAUGAAUAAGGACCGGCUAAUUCCGUGCCAGCAGCCGCGGUAAUACGGAAGGUCCGGGCGUUAUCCGGAUUUAUUGGGUUUAAAGGGAGCGUAGGCCGUGGAUUAAGCGUGUUGUGAAAUGCAGGUGCUCAACGUCUGCACUGCAGCGCGAACUGGUCCACUUGAGUGUGCGCAACGCAGGCGGAAUUCGUCGUGUAGCGGUGAAAUGCUUAGAUAUGACGAAGAACUCCGAUUGCGAAGGCAGCUUGCGGGAGCACAACUGACGCUGAAGCUCGAAAGUGCGGGUAUCGAACAGGAUUAGAUACCCUGGUAGUCCGCACGGGUAAACGAUGGAUGCCCGUUGUCAGGCUGUUUCAGCCUGGUGACCAAGCGAAA